CAAGACCUUGCGCUUUUAGAGCGGCCGAUGUCUGAUUAGCUAGUUGGUGAGGUAAAGGCUCACCAAGGCAUCGAUCAGUAGCUGGUCUGAGAGGACGACCAGCCACACUGGGACUGAGACACGGCCCAGACUCCUACGGGAGGCAGCAGUGGGGAAUUUUGGACAAUGGGGGAAACCCUGAUCCAGCCAUGCCGCGUGAGUGAAGAAGGCCUUCGGGUUGUAAAGCCCUGUCAGCCGGAACGAAACGGUCACGGCUAAUACCUGUGACUACUGACGGUACUGGAAGAAGAAGCACCGGCUAACUACGUGCCAGCAGCCGCGGUAAUACGUAGGGUGCGAGCGUUAAUCGGAAUUACUGGGCGUAAAGCGUGCGCAGGCGGCUUCGCAAGUCAGACGUGAAAUCCACGGGCUUAACCUGGGAAUG
rnacentral:rRNA from 1 species